rnacentral:rRNA from 1 species
UACGAAGGGGGCUAGCGUUGUUCGGAAUGACUGGGCGUAAAGGGCGCGUAGGCGGCGGACUAAGUCAGGCGUGAAAGCCCUGGGCUUAACCUGGGAAUUGCGUUUGAUACUGGUUGCUUGAGUGCGGGAGAGGAUGGUGGAAUUCCCAGUGAGAGGUGAAAUUCGUAGAUAUUGGGAAGAACACCGGUGGCGAAGGCGGCCAUCUGGACCGUUACUGACGCUGAGGCGCGAAAGCGUGGGAGCGAACGAGG